rnacentral:rRNA from 1 species
GAUGAACGCUAGCGGCAGGCCUAAUACAUGCAAGUCGAACGGGAUCCAGAUCAAAGCUUGCUUUGGUCUGGUGAGAGUGGCGCACGGGUGCGUAACGCGUGAGCAACCUACCCUUGUCAGGGGGAUAGCCCGGCGAAAGUCGGAUUAAUACCGCAUGACAUCAUUGAGAGGCAUCUUUCGAUGAUCAAAGAUUUAUCGGACAAGGAUGGGCUCGCGUGACAUUAGCUAGUUGGUAAGGUAACGGCUUACCAAGGCUGCGAUGUCUAGGGGCUCUGAGAGGAGAAUCCCCCACACUGGUACUGAGACACGGACCAGACUCCUACGGGAGGCAGCAGUAAGGAAUAUUGGUCAAUGGACGGAAGUCUGAACCAGCCAUGCCGCGUGCAGGAAGACGGCCCUAUGGGUUGUAAACUGCUUUUAUACGGGAACAAACGUCGGUACGUGUACCGGUCUGAGUGUACCGGAAGAAUAAGGAGCGGCUAACUCCGUG